rnacentral:rRNA from 1 species
GACGAACGCUGGCGGCGUGCUUAACACAUGCAAGUCGCACGAAGUGGCGAACGGGUGAGUAACGCGUAAUCAACCUGCCCUUCAAAGGGGGACCACAGUUGGAAACGACUGCUAAUACCGCCUACUGACGGAGGGGAUUGCGUCUGAUUGGCUAGUGGGAGGGGUCACGGCCAACCAAGGCGAUGAUCAGUAGCCGGUCUGAGAGGAUGAACGGCCACAGUGGGACGGAGACACGGCCCAGACUCCUACGGGAGGCAGCAGUGGGGAAUCUUCCGCAAUGGACGAAAGUCUGACGGAGCAACGCCGCGUGAGUGAUGACGGCCUUCGGGUUGUAAAGCUCUGUUAAGCGGGACGCGGUACCGGAAUAGAAAGCCACGGCUAACUACGUGCCAGAAGCCGCGGUAAUUC